rnacentral:rRNA from 1 species
CUCGUGUCGUGAGAUGUUGGGUUAAGUCCCGCAACGAGCGCAACCCUACUUGCUAGUUACCAUCAUUAAGUUGGGGACGUCUAGCGAGACUGCCAGUGAUAAACUGGAGGAAGGUGGGGAUGACGUCAAAUCAUCAUGCCCCUUAUGACCUGGGCUACAAACGUGAUACAAUGGCUGGAACAAAGGGAUGCGAAGCAGUGAUGUGGAGCGAAACCCAUAAAAACAGUCUCAGUUCGGAUUGAAGUCUGCAACUCGACUUCAUGAAGUCGGAAUCGCUAGUAAUCGCGGAUCAGAACGCCGCGGUGAAUACGUUCUCGGGGUUU